rnacentral:lncRNA from 1 species
CCCGCGGCAUAUGGAGGUUCCCAGGCUAGGGGUCUAAUCAGAGCUGUAGCCACCGGCCUAAGGCCAGAGCCACAGCAACGCGGGGUCUGAGCUGCAUCUGUGACCCACACCACAGCCACGAUCCUUAACCCACUGAGCAAGGCCAGGGAUCGAACCCUCAACCUCAUGGUUCCUAGUUGAACUUGUUAACCACUGGACCAUGACGGGAACUCCCAGAAGUGCUUUCUGAUGGUGCAGUGACUGCAGUCUUACGGACGGGUGUGUAUAAGAUGGUUUCUAUGAGGAAACAGAUUCUGAGCUGCAGCUCAAACAUCAGCUCAGUAGCUAGAGGUGAUUUUAGAGGUUGGUAGAUGCUACUAAACUCUGGGGCCACCUGGAGCUGGGCACAUUGCUGCCUCAAUGCACCCAGGAUUCUAUCAACAAGGAAGAAAGGAAAGGUUUGGUAGGAAACCAGCAUUGGUCUGUCACGGGAACAUCGGGGGUGUGGGGGCUGGCAGUUAGAUGGAUCAAGGGUGGAAUUUUAGUCCUACUAUUUCCUGCCUCUCCGGCCUUGGGAAGCUUGCCAAACCUCUUCAGAAAAGCCUUUCUGCAUUUGUCAACUGGAGACAAUAAUAAAGGUGAUGGUGAGGAUUAAAUGACAGCGAAUAUCCAGAAUACAGUAGAGGUUUAAUACCUGUCGACUCCCCCCCCACUGCAAAGUUUCUUAUCAAUGCUUGCUACCACCUCACAUCUGUAAGGAAUGUCAAUAUUGUCCAAAUCUGUGGUCGGCUCCAGCCACAUCAUUAAAACUACUGCCAAUAUAGAGCCUCCUAGAUGUGAUGAACAAACUCGCUACUUUGGGGACCAAUGAGCUAUUUUAUUAGAAAGCCUGGUGCAGGAGUUCCCACUGUGGUGCAGUGGGUUAAGGAUCUGGUUGUCUCUGCAGUGGCGUGGGUUCGAUCUCCAGCCUGGUGCUGUGGAUUAAGGAUCUGGUGUUGUUGCAGCUGUGGUGGAGGUCGCAGCUGUGGCUUGGAUUCCAUCACUGGUCUGGAAACUUCCAUAUGCUGCGGGUGCAGCAGAAAAAGAAAAAGAGAAAAAAAAAAAAAAAAAAAAGCCUGAUGCAUAGCAACUGGUGACAUCGACUCUCCUUGACUGACACCUGCCAUCCCCCCCAUACACUGCUGAUUUGACGCUGGAACGAGAUGAAUUGAAACAGGGUGGGACUGACACCACCGUCGCCCUCAUCCCUCUCUAUCUUUUCAGGAUUUCUUUGAUCCAAGUCAAGUCCAGCAGACAUCGACUUGGAGAAGCAGAGACCCUGGAGGAGUUCCUGGAAGACCCCAAGGCGUAAGUUUUUGCUUGUGGAUGAAUGAUGCUCCCCUCAGGAAGUCUAUUUAUAGGAAACGACAACAGAGCGGUUAUGGGAUUACAUGACUGGAUUAUGUGAGUCGAUUGGGCAUCUGGAGACAUCUGGCUCUGAAAGGCCUCAAACCCACCUGGACUCCCCUGAGGCCCAGGAUGAGGUGUGUUUUUCUCUUGUUGGAGAGUUGCUCCCAUUUAUUUUUGGAAGGAGCAACAGCAUGGGCUCCGUACGGCCCUGUCUCGGGUGUCUUUCAGCCAGGACGGUCAUAUUGCUGGGGUGGAGGGGAUAUGGUGGGAAGGGCUUCAGAUGUGGACUUUACAGAUCUGUGUUUGAAUUUCUCUACUUGCUGUGUGACCUUGGGCAAGUUAUUUGACUUCUCAUGCUCUUCGUUCCCUCUUCUGGAGGGGAUUGGACCAGGUAGUCCCUAAGGGCUCCAUCAAGCUUAGCAGCAGAGGCUUCCCACUGCAUGACUUGGGGUCCUCAAGCACAUUAUCACUCAUUUGCAAAUGCAGGCCAGGUUGGGGUAAAUGGGGUGGGACUGCGCUUGAGAAAAACAUAGUUGUUUUUGCUUUUGUUGAAAUUCUGGGACACAAGUUAAAAUGGCAGAGUACUUGACCCAGGCAUCCUUUUGUGAAACCCCUCCAAGACACAUAGGGGGGCCAGCAUGAGAAAUGGAAAGAGCGCCUGCAUUGGUUUGGAGUCAAAAAAACUUGAGUUUGCAUAUCAGCUCUUCCAGUCACUAAGCAGAAGUUAACUUCUCCGAGCAUUAGUUCAGUUACCUGCAAAAUUAAAAUAAUAACACCUAUAGUAUGGGAUUGUCUCAAGGUUGGUAAGAUAAUGAAUUCAAAGUAUGUUGCACACAGAAAAUGCUUUAAAAGGGUCAAUAUUGUUAUCCUCUUAGUAUUAUUAUUAUUAGCUACAGGGCUGCAAUUACUCUGAGCUGAGCCUCUCAAUUCCUGGGCCCUGCCUGGCUUUCUGUUCUGGUGUAGGAAACACCUAACACUGACUGGGCCAACUCUACAUCCACUCUCCCAGCUCCUCCUCCCACCAUGAUGAUUAAAACAAAUUAAUCUUAUGGUCUCCCAAGCAGAUAUU